CCUACGGGAGGCUGCAGUGGGGAAUAUUGGACAAUGGGGGCAACCCUGAUCCAGCCAUGCCGCGUGUGUGAAGAAGGCCCUCGGGUUGUAAAGCACUUUCAGUGAGGAAGAACGCCUGGUGGUUAAUACCCAUCAGGAAAGACAUCACUCACAGAAGAAGCACCGGCUAACUCCGUGCCAGCAGCCGCGGUAAUACGGAGGGUGCGAGCGUUAAUCGGAAUUACUGGGCGUAAAGCGCGCGUAGGUGGCUUGAUAAGCCGGUUGUGAAAGCCCCGGGCUCAACCUGGGAACGGCAUCCGGAACUGUCAAGCUAGAGUGCAGGAGAGGAAGGUAGAAUUCCAGGUGUAGCGGUGAAAUGCGUAGAGAUCGGGAGGAAUACCAGUGGCGAAGGCGGCCUUCUGGACUGACACUGACACUGAGGUGCGAAAGCGUGGGUAGCGAACAGGAUUAGAUACCCGAGUAGUC
rnacentral:rRNA from 1 species